UCCAGGGGCUGGUCAUCAAGAUGGAGCAGGGUAUAGAGAAGCCAUUAGGGAUGAUACAGAACACCACCAAAGGAGCUCCUUCUGGGAUUCUCUAUUGGCUGAACUCAGCCAGAAGCUGCCAAGGGAGACCCCCACAACUGGAUGCAGCCCACUGAAGUCAGCUUCCUGGGGUGCGUAGCUGAAGGUAGCAGGGAGCAAAAAGAAUCUGAAGGGGAAGUGAACAAUGUAGAGCGUAUCUGUGCUGAAGACGUAAGGAGAGAGUGGAGGUCAGAAGCUGGCAUGGUCCCUGGUGCAUGUAUCAGCCGCUAAAGCUGGAGUGGAUGAAUCAGAACUUUCCCCAUGGGAGCAUUUAUAAAAAGGGGACACCCAGCGCAGAAGAUGUUUUCCAGGGAGAUCUCGGGGAGCCCAACAAGCCAAGAAGAGCAGAGCAAAGCAUUCCAAGGAAGGACUCUAAGUCUGCAACCGAGCACACACGAGCACAAGGAAAGACCAUGUGAAUACACAGCAAGAACGUGGUGCUCUGCAAGUCAGAAACAGACCCGUCAUCAGA
rnacentral:lncRNA from 1 species